rnacentral:rRNA from 1 species
UAAUACGAAGGGAGCUAGCGUUGUUCGGAAUCACUGGGCGUAAAGCGCACGUAGGCGGACUUGUCAGUCAGGGGUGAAAUCCCGGGGCUCAACCUCGGAACUGCCUCUGAUACAGCAAGUCUCGAGUCCGGAAGAGGUGGGUGGAAUUCCUAGUGUAGAGGUGAAAUUCGUAGAUAUUAGGAAGAACACCGGUGGCGAAGGCGGCCCACUGGUCCGGUACUGACGCUGAGGUGCGAAAGCGUGGGGAGCAAACAGG